rnacentral:rRNA from 1 species
UACGUAGGGGGCAAGCGUUGUCCGGAAUCAUUGGGCGUAAAGAGCGCGUAGGCGGCCCAGUAAGUCCGCUCUGAAAGUCAGGGGGCUCAACCCCUGAAUGCGGGUGGAUACUGCUGGGCUAGAGUCCGGAAGAGGCGAGUGGAAUUCCCGGUGUAGCGGUGAAAUGCGCAGAUAUCGGGAGGAACACCUAUGGCGAAGGCAGCUCGCUGGGACGUUACUGACGCUGAGACGCGAAAGCGUGGGGAGCAAACAGG